rnacentral:lncRNA from 1 species
GAAUCUGGUCAUUGCAGUGGCCUUGCCCUCACGAUCCAGAUCUGAGCCACUAAGAACCUGCAGCAGAGGAAGACCAAGGCUCUCCUGGUGCAUUACUUUCUCAAAUCAACGUAAAAAGAGGGUUCUGGGGGGCUGGAGAGAUGGCUCAGUGAUUAAGAAUACUUUCUACUCUUCCAGAGGACCCAGGUUCAAUUCCCAUCACCCACAUGGCAACUUACAAACACCUGUAACUCCAGUUCCAGUCCUCUUUAGGCACUGCAUGUAUGUGGUAUAUAGACUUAUAAGCAGGCCAGGGGUUCUGUAAUACUAGUCCCUAUUUGGGGGGAGCCUCUGUGCAGCUUGCCUUAAAAGAUCACUUUCUGGGGCUAGAGAGAGUUCAAGGGAUAGGCAGAACACCUAGAAACAGGAGACAGGAGAACAUCAAGAAACUGGUGGGUCAGCCAGCCUGGCUUACCCAGCGGUGAACAAAGACCUUGCCUCAGACCGACCCCUGCUCCUCCUGGCCUGAAACUAGGCUGACCUCGAACUCACAGAAAUUCAGCUGUCUCUGUUUCCUGAGUGCUGGGAUUAAAGGUACAAACCACUA